rnacentral:rRNA from 1 species
UACAGAGGUGGCAAGCGUUGUUCGGAAUUACUGGGCGUAAAGGGCGCGUAGGCGGCCUUCUAAGUCAGACGUGAAAUCCCCCGGCUUAACCUGGGAACUGCGUCUGAUACUGGGAGGCUUGAGUAUGGGAGAGGGAUGUAGAAUUCCGGGUGUAGUGGUGGAAUGCGUAGAGAUCCGGAGGAACACCAGCGGCGAAGGCGGCAUCCUGGACUGGUCCUGACACUCAGGAGCGAAAGCGUGGGGAGCGAUCCGG